UUUUAAUGGCCGCAGUAUUUUGACUGUGCAAAGGUAGCAUAAUCAUUAGUCUAUUAAUUGUAGACUUGUAUGAAUGGUUGGACGAAAUAUUAUCUGUCUCAUAUUUAUUUUUAAAAUUUAAAUUUUAAGUUAAAAUGCUUAACUUUUUUUAUUGGACGAGAAGACCCUAUAGAUCUUUAUUUAUUUAUUUUAUUAUUUUUUUUUGUUUACAUUAUAAUUUUAAAUUAUGUUUUGUUGGGGUGACAUAAGGAUAUAGAUAACUCCUUAUUUUUAUUAAUCAUUUAUUUAUGUUUAUUUGACCUUUUAUUAUUGUUAUAAGAUGUAGAUACCUUAGGGAUAACAGCGUAAUUCUUUUUAAGAGUUCAUAUCAACAAAAGAGAUUGCGACCUCGAUGUUGGAUUAAGAUUAUAGUUAGGUGUAGGUGCUUAACAAUUAGGUCUGUUCGACCUUUAAAAUCUUACAUGAUCUGAGUC
rnacentral:rRNA from 1 species